rnacentral:snoRNA from 1 species
GGCACAAGUGAUGAAUGACAAAGGGACUUAAUACUGAAAUCUGGUGUGGAAAUGCAAUGUGCUGAUGUGC